GCGCCCGUAGCUCAGCUGGAUAGAGCAUCGGUUUUCUAAACCGAGGGUCGCAUGUUCGAAUCAUGCCGGGCGCACCA
rnacentral:tRNA from 1 species